AACUAGAUUAGUUUAACAUGUGAAAUGUCCGUAAAGCAUCAUCACAUGAUUGGUUUUAGGGCACAUUUCCAACAGUGAUAAGCUAGCAUAUUUGCUGAAUAUGUGACGAGCAAAAAUAUGUGAUGAAAUAUGUGAUGAACUAGUAUAUGUGAUGAGAUAUGGGUAAGUCGUACAAGUCACCCUAGGUGACUCCGACUUGCGUACUAGUAUGAGUUAUUAAUCGCAUGAUUAAUUGAUAUUAUUGAUGAGAUGCUGUGUUGUGGUAUAUUAUGAUUUUUUUUCUGGAAAUUAUACAGGUGUUGUAGCGAGGGGUUAUAAUGUUUUAUAUGGUUUCUAUAAAAAUUUUACUUACAUGGCCACUCACCCUUAUUUUGUCUUCACCCUCCAGGUUUUAUUAGCUGAGCUUUCUUA
rnacentral:lncRNA from 1 species